UGGGGGCGGGGCCGGGCACCUGGAGUCCUGCCGACUGCCGGAGCCCGGGUACUGGGUACUGGGUGGGAAGUUGAGGAGUGGCCUGGAAGUCCGGGCUCGAGGUGAGGGAGGAAUGAAGGAGAUGAGAGACGCUAGGCAGCGAGGGAGGACCUCUCUGCCAGAAGUUAGGAGGCAAGGAAAGCCACCAUGAAGGGGGAAACAGGAAGGUCCUCAGUGGGGAGGCUGGCCAUUCAUCUAGAAAGAGGUUGAAUUUGAGGCCACAUCAUUUGGGGCUGGGGUGUAAAAAAUAUCAAAUAUGGUCUUUUCUAUCAGAUACUAUAAAACGUGUUUAGGACAAGGAAUUAAAAAAAUUUUUUAUCUCCCCCACCUUGGAAGGCUUUUAUACAAUGUUUUUACCCUCUCCACCCAGGAAAACUUUUACACAAAGGCCCAUGGCUCUGUUCUAGGAAUUUGAUGGCCUGAAGCAGCGACCUUUUUUCCAGUGGACCAGUGACCCCUUUCACCUUCCUCCUCCAUUUCCUCAGUGACAACCAAACCACAGGGUGGUCCAUCAGCGAUGUCAUCAGAGGCAAUCAGACAUCAGACGGCAUUAUCAGAAUCAAAAUGGAGUCACUCAUGUCAGCCCUACCGAAAAAGGACUGAGGAACUGCUGUAAAGAUGUGCAACGUUCAGUCAUGAGUGUGACCAAAGUUGACAAUACUCCAGGAAGAAUGGCGUGUUUGUCCCCCAGGGACGCUUCAUGCUGAAGACAGAUGGUGCUGCUGCCUUUUGAGAAGCCCUGGCUCCCCUGCUGAAGCUCGAGAGAACCACAGUAGGUUUGACCCAACUCAAAACUUCAUGAAGCCUUCUCGCCAAGGGUGCACACACCGGAAUUCCCAGGAAGAAACCGAAUUUCUUAAUACUGCUUUCCCAAAUGGAGCAGUACGUUGUAUAAUACAUAUGAAUUCUGACGGUUGCUACUUAUAUACUCUAGGUUUUCCAGAGGGCUAAGGAAUCGUUCAUUCAGACUAAACCCUGGGAAUUCUAAGUGAGCUUGCCCCAGCAGCUGUGGAAAUGGUGUUGACUGCAGAGGGUGUCACUCAGGAGAGUAGAAUUUGAGACCCAAUACCAGGUUCUGUCAUUGUGUCUGUCUGUUUAGUCCUUGUGGGAUUUUGAUGCAUGGAAUGAAAUUGGGUAGAACUUCCUGGACUACGCACAGUCCCUCCAAAACCAACAUUUUUCUUAGGUUAGUUUUAAGAAAAAUGUGAGGAGGACCUGAUUGGGAAAGUUGUAAACAUCUCUAAGCCAGGAAAAUCUGUGAGCACCUUGCUUGUUAAGCAGUGUCUGAAAUGUCACAUGGUGCUGUCUCCAGGAGACGGAGUCUUUAACCAUCAUGACUACCAGAGUGUUGUGUGCAGUGGUUGCAAUUUUAGUUUUCCGCAGUCUUGCUAAGAAGCAGCUACAACAACAGGGUUGAUUAGAAGAGAAAAAAGAAAGAAAAAGCACAAAAAAAGGGAAGACAAAAAGAUUUUAUUAUUGUCAUGAAGGAGUUAGCUGUCUGGCAUGGAAGCUCUCCUGUUUGGUAUUCUAUGCCACUGUCGCUCUGAAGUUAACGUGCUUGUAGAAAAUAAAAAAUGCUUUUCCUACAGGAAACUUUACAGUGCUUGUAAAAACAGUUCCAUUUGGUUCAUGCACAGUAGAUUUCUGCAAGUGCUACCCCAAAGUCUCCACUGACAGGGCCUUCAUCCUCUUUAAAUGCUGGCCUCGGCUGACCACCUGCAACUACUCUGUUAACUUGCCACCAGAAUUUUACAUCGUUACCUCCACUUUCUAGAUCACAGUCUCUACAAAUGUUACUUGGAACAAAAUUUUACUUCAUGCAGGUGUCUUCCCCAAUGACAAGGUUUUUCUUUGUCAAAUUAAGUCUUUAAAAAAAAAAAGUCUGCCUAAAAAACUCCCCAGCCCCCGAGUAGGGGCUUGAGUAGGCCUGUCGUGGCCUGCUCUACCACUUCCCUUUAGGCUGGGACAAAGGAAGUACUGUCACCAACAGAUAGCAGAAAAUUUGCUACUGUGGCAUCUCCCAAAUCAGGGACUCAUCUCCUCCACUAGCUAGCCUAGGGAGGACCCCAACACCAUGGAAAUACCACAGAAGACAGGAAGAUCACCCCAACAGCAAUGAUUAAACACGAGCCCAGGUGCUCCUCCUCCGACACACUGAAAAGCAUUUAUGGAAGAUGGGCUCAUGCUGAAUGCCAGAAAGAAGCACGCAGCUGAAGCGGGUGAAGCACGCAGCUGAAGCGGGUGAAGCACGCAGCUGAGGCGGAUGCCGUGGAACACAGUGCAGGGAGGCGGAACCUUUUAAGACACCCAUUGGCUACCUGAAAACUUGGAUACUACCAAGCCCGCCACACAGAGUCUGUUUCCUCCUUUCCAUACACACAUGAUCAACUCUCCCUUUUACUCGGCGUACUAUCCGGCUUCGGUCCGGCACAGCUGAAUUACCAGCGUCACCACUCUUGGACCGUGGGGCCGCUGUAAAGGAAAACAGGGUUAUUUAAAAUAAGCCCCGCUGUGCUGGAGUCCUGAGAUGACUAAACAGGUAGGAAGCGUGAGCCGGACAAAAGGAUUCAUGUCCUGAGUGAGAUCGGGCUGCCUAGAAUGGCUCAUGAUUCUGCAUUUCUUGCUCUCCGAGGCUGACCACGGAUAAGGGAGAGGCAAACAGAGAAGUGGUUAAACAGCUCAGUCAGCGCCACAGAAAGUUCUAGAACUACAGGGUUCAAAUGCAGGGAGCGAGCCUCCAGCACCCACAUUCUCUCACCCUGUUUCAGACUGUGUCUGUAAUGGCGCUCGCACACAGUGUCGCAGUCGCCUCUGUGUCCUCUCCAACUCAACUGCUCUUCUAAGGAGACCAUCCAGAAGACAAUGGAGAAAUAGGAAUGGUCCACUCUGAAAGCAAAGCCUUUUUGCAGUUGCGCAACUAAUAUCAUCCACCAGGUGGCAGUCACGGUCUCCAGAUAAAAUCGCCUCUGUUUAAAACCCCUCUCUUUGAAGCAACGACUCAAUUUUUAUUACCAAAAAAUAAGUGGUCUGAAUUAAAAAUGAAAACAAAAAAACCCACAACUCUCUG